ACUGGAGUUUGAUCCUGGCUCAGAUUGAACGCUGGCGGAAUGCUUUACACAUGCAAGUCGAACGGUAGAGGGGGCAACCCCUCGAGAGUGGCGAACGGGUGAGUAAGUAUAUCGGAACGUGCCCAGUCGUGGGGGAUAACGUAGCGAAAGUUACGCUAAUACCGCAUACGAUCUAAGGAUGAAAGCGGGGGAUCGCAAGACCUCGCGCGACUGGAGCGGCCGAUAUCAGAUUAGGUAGUUGGUAGGGUAAAGGCCUACCAAGCCAACGAUCUGUAGCUGGUCUGAGAGGACGACCAGCCACACUGGAACUGAGACACGGCCCAGACUCCGUACGGGAGCAGCAGUGGGGAAUAUUGGACAAGUGGGCGAAAGCCUGAUCCAGCAAUGCCCGCGUGAGUGAU
rnacentral:rRNA from 1 species